AGAGUUUGAUCAUGGCUCAGGAUGAACGCUGGCGGCGUGCUUAACACAUGCAAGUCGAGCGAAGCAAUUUAAGUGAAGUUUUCGGAUGGAUCUUAGAUUGACUGAGCGGCGGACGGGUGAGUAACGCGUGGAUAACCUGCCUCACACAGGGGGAUAACAGUUAGAAAUGACUGCUAAUACCGCAUAAGCGCACGGUACCGCAUGGUACAGUGUGAAAAACUCCGGUGGUGUGAGAUGGAUCCGCGUCUGAUUAGGUAGUUGGUGAGGUAACGGCCCACCAAGCCGACGAUCAGUAGCCGACCUGAGAGGGUGACCGGCCACAUUGGGACUGAGACACGGCCCAAACUCCUACGGGACGCAGCAG
rnacentral:rRNA from 1 species